GUCAGCACAACAACAUGCAGCCUGGAGCACCCUCCAGUGGCAACAGAGACAUAUAAUGAUUCAGAGAGGUGACGCAUUACCUCAGCUGCAACAGUGCAACAAGUGUUGCAGCAAUUACCACUGCCCUUUUUGCUUGGCCAGAGUGUUUAAGCCAGCCAAACUGGUCAAAUUAAAAAGUCAUCUUCAAAGCCACUUCAACAAGGCAGCUGUACAUGGAGUAAGAUGACAGCAAAAAUUGCUCCAGGCACAUGGAUGCUACUGAAAAACAAGGAUGACCCCCAACAAAUUGGUGGUGUGGACUGUGGAGUCUUCAUGCUGAUGGUGAACAAAUUAUGUUUUGAUAUAAAUAAACCAUUGGUGUGCUUCUUAGAUUGUAGUUAAAGAAGGAACAAGGAAGCAAUUUCUUAUUUAUG